rnacentral:sRNA from 1 species
GAGGGCUGCUCUGACCCAGCCCGAUGACACCAACCGAAGCCGAUGAAGCCGUCGUGAGACGGAUGCGAGCCGGUUCUCCUAUGGAGAACCCUCGCUCUUUAGAGCGGGGAGGGGGUCAGUUUAUGGGUGGCA